GGAAGCUUUCGGGUGGAAUGAACUUAACUUAGCGGCGGACGGGUGAGUAACGCGUGGACAACCUACCCUGUACAGGGGGAUAACAAUGGGAAACCAUUGCUAAUACCCCAUAACACCUUUUAGGGGCAUCCCUUUAAGGUCAAAGAAUUUCGGUACAGGAUGGGUCCGCGUCUGAUUAGCUAGUUGGUGAGGUAAUGGCUCACCAAGGCGACGAUCAGUAGCCGGCCUGAGAGGGUGAACGGCCACACUGGAACUGAGACACGGUCCAGACUCCUACGGGAGGCAGCAGUGGGGAAUAUUGCACAAUGGGCGAAAGCCUGAUGCAGCAACGCCGCGUGAGCGAUGAAGGCUUUCGGGUCGUAAAGCUCUGUCCUAAGGGAAGAUAAUGACGGUACCUUAGGAGGAAGCCCCGGCUAACUACGUGCCAGCAGCCGCGGUAAUACGUAGGGGGCAAGCGUUAUCCGGAAUCAUUGGGCGUAAAGGGUGCGUAGGCGGCCCUAUAGGUCAGAGGUCAAAGGCUACGGCUCAACCGUAGUAAGCCUUUGAAACUGUAGGGCUUGAGUGCAGGAGAGGAGAGUGGAAUUCCUAGUGUAGCGGUGAAAUGCGUAGAUAUUAGGAGGAGCACCAGUGGCGAAGGCGACUCUCUGGACUGCAACUGACGCUGAGGCACGAAAGCGUGGGGAGCGAACAGGAUUAGAUACCCUGGUAGUCCACGCCGUAAACGAUGAGUGCUAGGUGUCGGGGGUCGAACCUCGGUGCCGCAGCUAACGCAUUAGGCACUCCGCCUGGGGAGUACGUUCGCAAGAAUGAAACUCAAAGGAAUUGACGGGGACCCGCACAAGCAGCGGAGCAUGUGGUUUAAUUCGAAGCAACGCGAAGAACCUUACCUGGACUUGACAUCCCUCGGACCGCUUUUUAACCAAAGCCUUCCCUUCGGGGACUGAGGUGACAGGUGGUGCAUGGUUGUCGUCAGCUCGUGUCG
rnacentral:rRNA from 1 species